GUGACAAUGGGAUGGUGACAAUGGGAUGGGGACAAUGGGACAGGGAGGGGGACAAUGGGGACAGGAGGGUGACAAUGGGGGGGGUGACAAUGGGGACAGUGACAAUGGGAUGGGGACAAUGGGGCACUGAUGGUGACAAUGGGGACGGGAUGGUGACAAUGGGGCAGGGAUGGCGCCAUGGGGACGGUGCUAUGGGGACAGUGACACAGGGAUGGUGGCAAUGGGGCAGGGAUGGUGACAAUGGGGCACUGAUGGUGACAAUGGGGCAGGGUUGGCGCCAUGGGGACGGUGCUAUGGGGACAGUGACACAGGGAUGGUGACAAUGGGGACAUGAUGGUGACAAUGGGGACAGUGAUGGUGGCAAUGGGGCAGGGAUGGCGCCAUGGGGACGGUGCUAUGGGGACAGUGACACAGGGAUGGUGGCAAUGGGGACAGGGAUGGUGACAUGGGGACACUGAUGGUCGCAAUGGGGACAG
ensembl:lncRNA